ensembl:rRNA 5_8S_rRNA 5.8S ribosomal RNA
GACUCUUAGUUGUGGAUCACUUGGCUCAUGCGUCCAUGAAGAAUGCAGCUAGCUGCGAGAAUUAAUGUGAAUUGCAGGAGACAUUGAUCAUCGACACUUCAAACACACUUGUGGCCCCAGGUUCCUCCUGGGGCUACGCCUGUCUGAGCGUUG